GCUUAGGUCAGCCUUACUACUGACCAACAAUGAAUCCUUCAACACUGAAGGUAGGGCGUUCCAUAUCCAUGAUUCGUGGGACUCUAUUCUGUGGGUAAGUGACGAUCUAUGGCCAUUCCUCGGUUCAUUCCGACCUUUCCACUUAAUUUUUAAUUAAUUUAAUUUUAAUUUUAAUUUUUUUUGUAGCUCAUCCACCACUUCGAUCAUUUCUUGGAGAUGAUCUGUGAAGCUCAACAAAUUUCAAAAAAGAUCGAGGAAAAG
rnacentral:lncRNA from 1 species